rnacentral:rRNA from 1 species
GAUCCUGGCUCAGGACGAACGCUGGCGGCGUGCUUAACACAUGCAAGUCGAACGGAAAGGCCCUGCUUUUGUGGGGUCCUCGAGUGGCGAACGGGUGAGUAACACGUGAGUAACCUGCCCUUGACUUUGGGAUAACUUCAGGAAACUGGGGCUAAUACCGGAUAGGAGCUCCUGCUGCAUGGUGGGGGUUGGAAAGUUUCGGCGGUUGGGGAUGGACUCGCGGCUUAUCAGCUUGUUGGUGGGGUAGUGGCUUACCAAGGCUUUGG